CCUGAUUAACAAUCAUGAAUCAUUAAGGUAAUAACUACCUGAGAGAUCAAAGUGAUCAAGGGCUCUAGAUGUGAAACUAGCUUAUGCCAGAUGCUGGGGAGGCAGAGAACAGGCUGGGAGCUGCUUGCCAAGGAGGUUUCAUCUCUUGCUGUGUUCCAGGUGGCUGCUGUGUCACUUUGGUCAGCAGGAUUGGAAGAGAGCCAUCAUCUGCUUCCUCGAUGGUCUGCCAGCCCUUGUGUUUGUUCCUGCAGGGGAAUAUAAAAGAAAUCAUCUCUGAGCUGAGACCAAGCACUGAACAUUUCACCCUGAAUAGGAAACUGAGAAACUUAUAAGCAGCUGAAAGGAGAAUAGAAUAGAAACAACAUUUCAGAUUCUUCACUGCGGUUGCAGCUAUGGGCAGAACUUACCACCAGUAACAAGAACUUUCUGAACCUUUUUCUCUAAGUUCUGACACUUGGUUUGGGGAUGUGUCCAAGGCCCAUGAAAGACCAGUUUUCCCUGUGAGAGGAGGGACUCUAAGUGACUGCCCUAAUAGAGGAACUGGCUGCUGCACCUGUGUUAGCUCAACUGGUUCAUGACCAGCUGCACCCUUUUAUCAGAGGCUUGCCACAGAUACAGAGCAGCCUCAGGCACUCAUAUGUGGGGUGCCUGGUGAAUGAAAACCUGCUGGAAAGGCAAAUCUGAAAGGAAGCUCUUGAGCACUCUACUGUGCGAGUUCCUCAACUGAUGGCUGUGUUUCUCCUCCUCAUUCUACACGUUUUCAAAUAAUUUUCAUGCUGGGAAUAAAUCUGAGUGCAUAACAAUCAUAUUCAGCAUAUGAUAACCAGAGACAAUUGUAUGUAUUCAAGCAGCCACAUGGAAAAUAAAUGAGCUGACAGAAAGAGCACAAGAUGACCCAGAGACCACAGUUACCAUGUCCACAACUUUCAUGGCUUUCCAGUACCUACAUCAGCUGUCAGAAAGAAAUGUGGAAACUUGAGUAUCAGCACUGGAAAGCAGAGGCUGAUGGGGUGAAACAGCACAUCCCCAAGCAUGUGUGCUGCAGACCAGAGGAACUUUUUGGCUAUUCCCAGUGAUGCUGCUGAAUCUCAGCCCAAGAAGUUAAUCAGUAAGGAAAGUGCUUUGGCAAUGCACUGUGUAUUUGACCUGCCCCUCAAGAAUGGAAACCAGGUAACUGUUUUAUUCCUUCUGGAAAUGACUGUGUAUGUUUGGGAAGCUUUUCAGACACAGUAGCUCAUUUUAAGGCUAUCAUGACAUCAGGGGCCCUAGUCAUUUUUCUGACUGGUGUGUUCCUAAUUCACUGAGAUGCUUUGAAAUUUCCAUUUGUGAAUUCAGACCAGCAUAUUCCUAGCUAUUAAUAGGUGAUGCUACUCAUGAUCAAGAUAGCCAACACAACAAGAACAAUGUGCUCUGACCAGUGUUGGACAAAUCCAGUAAGGAUGUGAUAUCAAUUCAAAUCCACUGUGUGGCUGAAAUCAUACCAGCUGCUGAGCAAAUGCCUAGUGACACUAACAAGAGAUCAAGUUAAUGUCAGGAUAGCUUUCUAACUCAAGACAAUCUAGAUUCAGACUGAGAAGCUUGUUAAAGGUCUUGAGGACCAAUCUUUCAUACACGGUUGUCCUCCAGGAUCACUCCAAGGCAUUCAUGGUCUCACUGAUGGGAACGAUACGGUGGAGGUGAGGGUGGCUGGAUGAGCUGUGAAGCUGAUCCGUGGUGGCAAGGAUGCUGUUUCCUUUCUACACCCAAAAUCACCAAAUCACUCUGAUUCUUUUCAGCACUGAUUUCUGAACAGCUUAGACACAUGGAGGGCCUAGAUUUGCUAGCCAUCUGACACAACUGGAGCAGGACUGAGCUGUGAGAAGGCUGACCCCACCAACCUAUUGCUGGUGUUCAGAUGAGAUCUGGCUGUUGGCUCAAAAAUAGGUGAACUUAUUCUGGACCUUCAGCAACUCUAGGGAGCAGAAGAAGGCAUUUCAUUUAUAAUGUGGAUGACUUUCCUGAAUUUGAAGUGUAUUUAUGCAAUCUGUUGAUUUGUUGGAAGACUCCUUGGUUACUCCAGGUAUUUUCACAGCAUCCUCCCUGUUCUAUCAUCUCUAGCUGAAGAGAUGUCAUUCCAUCUUGGCCGGUACUGACGAGGCCUCAGCUGUUUGCAUCUCUGCUGCUUCCUGGACAGCACCAACAUGAUAUACAUGGGCCAGAAGCUUUCAGUGUUUGGUGAUUCCAGCUGGGACAGGACUCUGUGGACAAUCUCCUCAGCAAGCUGUCUGCUUGAUACAGGACCUUGAACCAAAUUUUAUGCCUUGGUCCUUAUAGUCAAGAUAUUGCCUGGCCUGGGUCCCUGCUGUGGGAUGCAGGGUAUAGCUGACAGUUGCUUAAACACAUAACAUGUGUUUGUAAAAUAAAUCUGCCUGUAGCAAGUAUGGUGGGGACCAGGGUAGAACUUUCUGAAGGGAAGGUACAAGACUAUGCAUUGAGCUCUCCUAGCUUCAUAGCAAACACUGCUUUCUGUGCCAACAGCCAGGAAGCCUGAAGUUUGUUCUGAUGGUUUUCUUCUCAUGCUUCCUAUAGAAUAAAUGUAUAAUAGUCUGUAAUAUGAAAACAAAGAAAAACUACCUAAAAUUUGCCAAACCCAUACUUCUAAGAAGUGUUUCCCUAAUCCUGGCUGAACCCUUCUGCAUCCUCUUUUGCCUCUGUUCUGGUACUUACCUGACCCCUAGGUAUGCUGGUUCAGUCCUCUGGUCCAGCAGAAACUUAAUGCAGAGAAAAAGGAGGUUGAAUUUGGGGCUUUGUUUAUCUUUUGCUAGGUUAGUGAGCUGCCUUGGCCCCCGGAGGGGUCAGGUGAAGGCCGGAGUUAAGAAGAAGUGGGGUGCAUGGCCUGAAAGAGGUGACAGCAAAAGGUUAGAUUUGCUCAGACAACUUUCUAGGCUGUUGCCCUGGUGCACUGCGGGAAAGCACUCAGCUGCAGAGCCCAGUGCAAUGUGCAGGGCAGAGGGCACUGUCGGAGAAUUUCCUUCUGCAGUGGUAGCUCUGGGGGUGAGCAGAAGCUAUCUCCAUAGGGGUUAUGGUCACCCAUUUGCUACUCAGCCCUCCACUGCUUUCAAAACCAUGCUGUGAGUACUAGGACAAAACCUUCCACCCAGCUGUCUCUCAGCUACCAAAAUAUCUCCUUUGCCCCUUGACCAGCUGUAAAAACUUCCCUGGCCUGCCUAGAACAAGUGUCUUAGCGAAUGUUUGCCUUGGCCUAUGAGAAGUGGGAGGGAUGCUGUGGAGAUGACUAGCAGGGCCGCGUGUAUUUAAUGCCAGGUGCCUGUCCUAAGCAAGCCUGUCCAUCAGGGCUGCCACUGCUCACCUCUGUAAUG